CAAUCGUGGGAUCUGCUGGGUAGCCUGAGAUAUUUGGGCUCAUAGGAUUCAACAUGUUCCACAAGAAAUGCGAUUGUAGAUGUUUUAUCAGCUUGUAGGACCCAGGUGAUUGCGCUCUUUCUUUGGAUGGUUUUCAAUGGUUUAUGCUAUGAUUAUUAGGCGACCAGGUGCGCUAGCUUUUGUGCUCGUGGAAGUAAUGUCAUUGCAUUGCCAAACUUUCCGGAAGUCUUUGGAUCAUUGGUUGCAGUCUGGGCCGGUGAAGUAACCCUCGCAAAAAAAUCCAUAUAAAGAGGCCCUACCCACAGAUGGCUCACCACAAUAGAAAAUGGCGGCAGUAGCACAGAACCAUGGCGCUCUCCCUCUGGCCAAGAUCCCCCUGCUUGAUUUAUGAGGAUGUGAAGCUGACCUACUGUCGUGACCUGUGGAGGUGUACUUCUGGGCUUUUCCAAGGGGAGGGAUAUAUACUCUCAAGCGAGAAUACUGUUAUCCAAGAUGAUUGCUUUCAUAAGCCUGAUGGAUGACACCUAUGCUGCCCAUGCAACCUUUGAGAGGAGUGCAAAAAGGUUCAGUGAAGCUAUCCAAGAUGGGAUGCGAGUGCGCGGCUUCUGCUGUACCUGAAUAUCUGCGGGCGUUUUACAUCAAGACAUUAAGCAUUUUCAAUGAAUUCAAGGAUAUGCUGGAGUAAGGUGAAAAGUAUCGUGCGUCUGAUGUCCAAAAAAGAGUAUAUACUGCUGUCGAAAUAUUACCUCGAGGAGGCCAAAUGGUGCAAUAGGAAAUACAUGCCAUGCAAGCUUCAAAGAUCAUGUAGACCUUUCCACCCUGUCGUCGGCCAUUCCGCUGCUGACCCUUUGGGCGUUGAUGGCUAUGGGUGAUACGGCAACCACCCAUGCAUGCAUUCAAGUGGGCAAGAGAUGUACCGCCUCCGUUCCAAAUUUAGAUCAUUUUGGUAAAUCUACGGUUUCUAAUGUUGUGCAUCCAAAAGGUGGCAUCAGGCCAUGACCUUAAGCUCACCUUGACCUUGCCACAAUGAUCAAGAACCUACUGCAUUGGAUUUGUUCAAGGAUUGCCACUACAGCACGAAGAGAGGCCAGACGCCUGCUGUACAAUCAGCAAUUUCUCAAAUGGAAAACAAGUUGUCUGCACAAACAGGAAGCGAGGGAAGUGAAGGAAGUGAAGGAAAUGAACAACCGAAGUCUGUGAAUGAAGUUGUAUUCGAUGUGCUUUCUGAGAAGACAAGGAAGAACAAGUUCCUUCAGAAUGUGGGCAUCCAGAUUACGCGGCCUACGUCCAGUGAACAGGACAUUCGAGCAGAUUUGGCAGCGGAGAGGAGGGCCAAUGCUGAGCUUCGAGCCAUUGUCAAUACCAUGUGCAAAAAUGGAUGAAUUGUCAAAGGAAGUGCAGGAAACAGAGGAGUCAAGAAGCAGGGAUGGAGAGGAGAUGAACAUGCAAGAUGAGAUGAAUGCAAAACUGGAACUUGUGCUAAGUCAGGUUCGACCAAGUUAGCUACAUGCUUGUCUGUUGGCUUUUGCUAGAACAGGUUUUGUGUUAUUGCUGCAACUGCAUGCGUUCUGCUGCUGCAAUUGCAUGAAUUUGCAGGAGCCUAAAUUUUUCUUUUUGGUGGAGUGGCUCAUGUGCCAUGGUGGUUUGCUCCUGUGAUUCUGACUCUGGAUGGAACUUGGUGCUGUAUGAACUUGUUGAUGGUUGUAUGACUUUUCUGGAACAUGACUCUAUUUGAUGUGGUACUGGAUGAACCGUGUGCUGUGA